CGACCAGUGGCGCAGCGGUCUAACGCAUCUCCAUAUAAAGAAGACGGUCACAGGUUCGAAUCCCGUCUGAUUUG
rnacentral:tRNA from 1 species